UACGUAGGGGGCAAGCGUUGUCCGGAAUCAUUGGGCGUAAAGCGCGCGUAGGCGGCCCGGUAAGUCCGCUGUAAAAGUCCAGGGCUCAACCCUGGAAAGCCGGUGGAUACUGUCGGGCUAGAGUCCGGAAGAGGCGAGUGGAAUUCCCGGUGUAGUGGUGAAAUGCGUAGAGAUCGGGAGGAACACCUGUGGCGAAGGCGGCCGACUGGGCCGACCCUGACGCUGAGGCGCGAAGGCGUGGGGAGCGAACGGG
rnacentral:rRNA from 1 species